rnacentral:rRNA from 1 species
UACGUAGGGUGCAAGCGUUAAUCGGAAUUACUGGGCGUAAAGGGUUCGUAGGUGGCUUGCUAAGUCAGACGUGAAAUCCCUCAGCUUAACUGGGGAACUGCGUCUGAGACUGGUGAGCUUGAGUGCAGGAGAGGAACGCGGAAUUCCAGGUGUAGCGGUGAAAUGCGUAGAUAUCUGGAGGAAGACCAGUGGCGAAGGCGGGUCUCUGGACAGUUCCUGACACUGAGGCACGAAGGCCAGGGGAGCAAACGGG